UACUUUUCUUUGCUGAGGUAGUGGACUAUGGGUGUGCAACGUUGCAUAUACUUUUAGAAACAAUUAAUAUGUUGAUUGGUUUAGCUGAAUUGAUUUUUUUCCCCUUUGUUUAUACUUUGUUACAAGGUUUGGCUUGUUGGAUUGAGGAUAGGAGCAUAUUUGGAAAUGAACAUGAUGCAAAAACAAAAUAUUGUAUGUCUCCAAAAGUUUCAGUGCCAGGUUCCAUCGUUUAAACUGAGGUAGAGAGUUGAGAAAAUGUGCCUUUCUCUUCCCUUCUGUGCAGAGAAGAGGAGCCCAGAAGCUCAGAUGGAAAGGACUUAAGGGGUCCAAAAAGAUUCCUCUCCACAGUCUGCCUCCUGACAAGUGGUCAUCCAGUUGUUACCUGAAGACCCCCAGGGAGGGGAAGCCCAUCAAUUUCCUGAUCAACCCAUUCCAUUUUUCCAUUUUUCCUUCUAAACAGCCUAAUUUGGCCUUUUCUAACCAUUGCUUCUAAUGCCCCUUGUGGGGGAGGGGGAGGGGAGGGUCCUGGGACAAGCAGAAAAAGUUACUGGUUCUUCUGGGUAAUGACCUUGAAAAUACUGGCACGCAGUUCUCAUGUCCUCUUUAACUCCUUCCCUUCUCCAGACUAAACAGCCUCCAGUUUCUUCAACAAAUAGAUCCUCAGGGCCUUCCUCUCCACCCUGGUUUCCCUCUCUGGAGAAUUUUUCCAAUUUGUCAACCUAUUUCCUUAAAUAAAAUG